rnacentral:rRNA from 1 species
CCUACGGGAGACAGCAGUAGGGAAUAUUGCUCAAUGGGGGAAACCCUGAAGCAGCAACGCCGCGUGGAGGAUGAAGGUUUUCGGUUUGUAAACUCCUUUUGUUAGAGAAGAUAAUGACGGUAUCUAACGAAUAAGCCCCGGCUAACUCCGUGCCAGCAGCCGCGGUAAUACGGAGGGUGCAAGCGUUACUCGGAUUCACUGGGCGUAAAGAGCGCGUAGGCGGGAUAGCAAGUCAGAUGUGAAAUCCUAUGGCUUAACCAUAGAACUGCAUUUGAAACUGUUAUUCUAGAGUAUGGGAGAGGUAGGUGGAAUUCUUGGUGUAGGGGUAAAAUCCGUAGAGAUCAAGAGGAAUACUCAUUGCGAAGGCGACCUACUAGAACAUAACUGACGCUGAUGCGCGAAAGCGUGGGGAGCAAACAGGAUUAGAUACCCCGGUAGUC